CUCCUGAGGCCCUAAGUGCCACCUCUCUAGACCCUGUUCAGCUCCUCUCCACAUUCGUUUUAAUAUUUCAUGGUUCUCUUGGAAGAGGGAGGAGCAACAUCUCUCCGUGCAUGUUCCUCUUAAUCGAUUUGUUAUGGCAAUUAUAACUUUUUUUUACUCCAGAGGAUGCAAAGGAGACUGCUGCUUCCUGGAAAGGGAGUGUUUUGGAAGACGGUGAAAUGCAAGUGUCCUCCCCACGGUGCCACUUGUGGCGUGUUCUCCGAAGACUUCCCUGCUUUUCUGGAAAGCCAGGGUCCUUCCAGCCUGGGGGUUGAUGGCUAAGACCUCGUCUGAGGGUCACUGUUGCUGCUGUGAGGCCGAACCACAGAGGCUGUUCCCAUCACAUUUGUAACCAUCCUCAUUUCCUCAACUUUCGAUACGUAACCUGUGUCAAAACACAGAGUCAUAGCUGUGGACAAUCUCUGAAAUCGUGUAAUGUAUAGUCACCCUGAAGGAACUGAAUCGACUCCUUCAACUGAGCUACAUUGAAAUGAGGGCCACAUCGAAAUGAGAGGAGAUGCUCUCAGGGCCACAUCGAAAUGAGAGGAGACGCUCUCGGAAGGAAGUCUCCGGACUCCAAGUCCUCAGCCAGCAUCACGGGGGAAGGCAGCUGAGCCCUGGGAUUCAGAGCCUGGAAUCACAUUCCCAGGCUGAGCGUGGAUGAACAGUCACUGAGCAGCAGGUCAGACGCCCGUCGGCCCUGGGACGCGGCGGGUGUGAGCACAGGGCCUGAGGCGUGUGCAGCUACUCAGAUGGAAGCGCCUGUCAGCAUCUUGGUGACAAGCUGUAAAUGCAUUUACACUGUGCUCCAUGGAAGUGAACCUCUCUAACCAUCAGCUUCAGAGAUCUGGGCAGCGGAGCCGGGUGGAUACGCACCAGCACGGGCCCUGGUGUGAGGCAGAAACACUGAAUGUACUAUUUGUGGCGCACACCUUCCAGCCGCCGCUGGUCCACCCGAUAGCCGGGUCAGGCAGAGGGAUGGGGCGAUCUGUGGACCUCUGGUCCCCAAUAAUCCCAGGCCCGACCAGAAUACUGAGAUGCAAAUACUUACUCAGGGUUAUCUUUUGUAAUUUUGCCUACUUUAGGGUUGUAGAAUUUUUAGCUAGAAAUAAAGGAAGGGGGACCCUUCCCCACCUGGAGUCCUUCGGAGAUGCUGUGUUGACGGACUCUGCCCCUGACCGACGGAAGAAGUGAUUCACAGUCCACACCGCUGUCCAGGGUUGAUUCAGCUGCUCCGCCAGCACCUUCAUUUCUUCUCUUGAACUUUCCUCAUUCAACUUCUCAGCCAUGUAAACCAACCACAGUUACAACCACUGUAAAGCAGACGGGCAGCGGGGAGGGGACAUUAAUGCUGAGAAUGGACUGACUCUGUAAUCAGGGCAGCGGUCCUGCCUUCCUGACAGCACAGAGAGGCAUUACAGUUUCAUGGGUCACCUAGACUCUAAAAUCAAACUCAGGGCAGUAGCUACUAGCGACCUUGUUUGCUGGCCUAUGUUCUAGAAUGUAAGCACAAAAAGGUAAGGAUUUUCACCAUUUUAUUCUUUGCUGUGUGCACUGCCCUGAAAACCAAACACCAGCCCAGAGGCCCAGUGAAUGUUAGCAGUGCAGGAGUGCCAAGCAUGGUAGUAAAAUCAUUCUGUGUUUCUAUUUACAUCUCAUAAAAGCAGAUUAAUUUACAUGCUAGGUGUCUAUUUACACAGUAGAUAACAGUGUAUGUUUUCACCAAUCUUCUUGUACCCACUGUUAAAACAGCAAAUGAAUAAUCCCUUGAUUUGUAUUUCUCUUCAUCUUGGGGAACUAUUGUUUAUCCCGUUGACUUCUGAAGAAAUUGAAAGAGUAAAAAAGUUGGCCAUUUAUCUGAAAUGAGAGUGUGUUUUUUCAAAAAAGAAAAGGGUCCCCAGAGAAUAUUUACAUGCUGUUGAGCAUUUAGUAAGAAAACAUUUCAAAAUAACCAGCAUCAAUGGAAUUGUGGAGCCUGCAGCGCCGUCACUUAAUUUCAAAGGAGAGACAGGCUAAAUCCAGAAGACGACACAGCACAGGGCUCCACCGCACCUGCCUAGUCAACUUGGGGGUUUAACAAUGCAGACACAUCAGUAUGAAUUGCUUCCGAUAGCCAAGCGUUCACAGCGGAGGGUUUGCUCUUAACUGUUUUUCUACUGCCGACUUGGGCUCGAUGGCAGCAUUUUCCAUGAUGUGUCCGUGAUGAAAUUGGAUGCACAUGCAUGUGAGGUUUCCAUCCAGCUAAGACCAUGUUUGGGGAGAAGCCAACUGCAGAUGCAGUGUUCUGCCUAUGGUCUGGAAACUCCAAGGUCACUAAAGUGCAGGAAGUUCAGAGAGACAGAUCACAGGGAAGGAUGGACUUGCCUGUUUGGAGGCUCAGGGUCAUCACAGGACACCAAGCCCAGGCAGCUCAGUUCACAGGCACGUGGGGAGUCUAGGGAAGCCGGGAGGCUGGGGAGGAGGCUUGAUUCUCUCCUCUCCUCCGCCGGCCUCCACAUCCUUUCUCUUGGGAGACCCUCAAUGAAGAUGCAUUAAUUGGUUUUGUCUUCGGACAGUAGUCCAUGGUUUUGUUCCAGAAAUCCUUAUUAAAAUAGCACUCAGACUUUUCAACAAAUUUUUGGUUUACAUUUUUGCCUCACUCUCGUAACAGCACAGAAAUGACUGCAGGGGGCUUACCACCUCCAGUAAGCCUCCCAGGCACCCGCAGACCAGAACAGAGCAUUUUAAUACCUUGACCACGCCUCACAGCUACACAGGGGACGCCAGGCCACGGUCCAGACUUGCGGGCUCCAGGAGGGCACCUGCCUGUCACACUGCACAUGCUGCUCGAAUGCAAGGCUGCAUGACUGCAAAUUCAGGUUUGAAAACAGAAACAAACCUGUAAAGCAAAACACAGUAGAUAUAAGCCUAGAAAGAGUGGUGAAAAAUCUCAAAUAUAAACUCUAAAUCCAAAAGCAAAAGUUAACUUAAAAAACUGAGUUACUGAUGGUGAGGAAACAUUUUCCUACAUAGAAAAGUGGUGCCCAGGAUGGAUGGUGGGAGCAGAGAAAAUGAAUCUGUCAGCACUGUUCUGUGACACAAUGCAAGCCGCUGACCAUCUAGUUCAGGGGCUGGCACAUUUUUCCUGUAAAGAUAAGUAUUUUAGGCUCUGUGAGUCAUAUGAUGGUACCCGUUCCACUCCACCAUGGUAGCGAGGGCACAGCCAUAGAAAACAUGCAGACAAACGAGCCUGACUGUGUCCGUGAAGUUUCUUUACAAGAUUAGGCAGACGCCUGGUGUAGCGUGUUCAUCGUUAAAUCUCUUAUUCAUGCCUUUCAUCCGCUAAUCAAUGGCAUCGUCAGUAACAGCUUGAAUUGAAUUUUGGAGGAUCUCUGUUCAGCUUCAUAAGGACACCACAUUGGGUGAAAUCCUUAUGGGAAGACCAAAAACGUUUGUGAUUUUUAAAAUUUUCCCCUGAAAUCUAACCUUUGUCAGAGAUCUUUCUACAGAAGUUGUUUUCACCCCGAAGGAGCUGCAAUCCCGAUUAGCUAGGAUCAAAGAUUUGAACUUGCAAGUACCUCUGCUUUCAGGCGAUCUCCUAGAGCUGUAAUUUCUACAUCUAACAGCUGGUUUUAGAAUAAGAAACCAAGUUACCUCAUGGAUUGAUUUCCAAAAAAUAUAUAAAUGAUUUUCCUAGGAUAUUAUAAAGGCUUGAGUUUGUUUACCAAGAACUUCUAGGUUAGUGCAAACUUUUCCUAUAAUUAAGAAGGGGGCUUCCCUGGUGGUGCAGUGGUUGAGAGUCCGCCUGCCGAUGUAGGGGACACAGGUUCGUGCCCCGGUCCGGGAAGAUCCCACGUGCCGCGGAGCGGCUGGGCCCGUGAGCCAUGGCCGCUGAGCCUGCGCAUCCGGAGCCUGAGCUCCGCAACGGGAGAGGCCACAACAGUGAGAGGCCCGCGUACUGCAAAAAACAACAACAACAAAAAGAAAGAUCUGAGGAGCCCUAAAGAAUCAGAUCUGGGCUUCCAGUGGUUUGGUUUUUGUUAUUUUGUAAUUUUGUUCUUCUUUUUCUUCUACUGUUCAGCUGUGUUUCAGAUUAAUUGCAGUUGAUACAUUUCUAUGUUCUUUAAAUCUUAGAUUGAGAACUAUUUAAAUAUUUCUUGCUAGAAAAUGGGAAUUCAAACUCUAGAACAAUCUUGAAAUUAAGAAUUUGAUAUUUUAAACCAUUACCUUUAUGUCGAUGUAUUCAGUUAAAUGCAGUUAUUCUUAAGAGCUCAUAUACACAAAGCAAAAAGUUGCAGAGUAUAAAAUUAAGUUCUCGGCAUUUUAGAAAUUACCUGGAGUAUAGACUCCCACUGCUUGUUUCUAUGAGAAAUAAAACUUCUCAAGAAAAACACAAACCUGCCUCCACUACUUUAAUCCACAUUUGAGAAGCUCCCAUUUACAUCACUUUUAUGAAUCUACUUGAAUUGACUUCUAGUUAGUAUCAAAUGUUGCUUUGAAAUGUUUUCCAAGGAGGUUUUUUUGUGUUUCUUUUUUUAAGAAAAACUGUCGAUAUUAAAUACCAUAAUAUCGCUAAAUCAGACAAUUUUUCUCCAACAAGUAACAGACUCAGACAAUUUAAAACAUCCUAAGUAAUGGCUUCGGUCUUCAUUUAAACCUUUUGAAAGCAGAAAGAAAUCUGUGUGUAAGAAUAUGUCGGUUUUAACAAAAUUUAUGGCAUACCUUGUAAUUUGAUCUUUCUUAUAGCUUAAACUAUAGACUUUUUCAGGAUUUGAAAUAUGAGAAUAUGCUUUCAGAAGGUUUAGUUGUUAAGUAAUUUGAGGAGAUAAUCCUAAACUAUGUUUAAUCCCCCUCUGGUACCUAAUUAUAACCCGUGUCUAGAUUUCCUGUGGGUAGCAUCCCAUGACUGAGGACUAAUGAAAUUACUUUGUUGAUUGACUGAUUCCUUCCUAUUUGACCUUCUUUCUUUUCAGGGAUCUUUUUCUUUGGACGAUGGUAGCAGAACAAAGUGAUAUGCAUGGCAAAGAGUAUUGACACAUAAGGAUCGCCACUGAUGGAGCCGUUUGGGGUGGGAGAACAGGGGGACAGAGGCUUCCUGGACCCACACACUGAGUUCUCAGCCCAGCUCUGCAGCCCCUUCUUAUUCACGUCAACUUGGGUAACUGCUACUGCCUUUGGGCCCCAGUUUAUCAGUAAAAUAAAGAAAA